GGUUAGCCCGCGUUAGGGAUUGAGACUUUGUUGGAGCUCUUUUUGUGUGGUUGCACCUAUGCAACACAAAAAAGCGACUGCCGAAAGCCCGACCCUUU
rnacentral:ncRNA from 2 species